rnacentral:rRNA from 1 species
UCAGUCGACUCCUACGGGGAGGCAGCAGUGGGGAAUAUUGCACAAUGGGGGAAACCCUGAUGCAGCCAUGCCGCGUGUGUGAAGAAGGCCUCGGGUUGUAAAGCACUUUCAGUAGGGAGGAAGGUAGUGUAGUUAACACCUGCAUUAUUUGACGUUACCUACAGAAGAAGCACCGGCUAACUCCGUGCCAGCAGCCGCGGUAAUACGGAGGGUGCGAGCGUUAAUCGGAAUUACUGGGCGUAAAGCGCAUGCAGGCGGCCUGUUAAGUCAGAUGUGAAAGCCCGGGGCUUAACCUCGGAAUUGCAUUUGAAACUAGGCAGGCUAGAGUCUUGUAGAGGGGGGUAGGAAUUUCAGGUGUAGCGGUGAAAUAGCGUAGAGAUCUGAAGGAAUACCAGUGGCGAAGGCGGCCCCCUGGACAAAGACUGACGCUCAGAUGCGAAAGCGUGGGGAGCAAACAGGAUUAGAUACCCUGGUAG